rnacentral:rRNA from 1 species
AACGGGUGAGUAACACGUGGGUGAUCUGCCUCGCACUCUGGGAUAAGCCUGGGAAACUGGGUCUAAUACCGGAUAUGACCACUGAUCGCAUGGUUGGUGGUGGAAAGAUUUAUCGGUGCGAGAUGGGCCCGCGGCCUAUCAGCUUGUUGGUGGGGUAAUGGCCUACCAAGGCGACGACGGGUAGCCGACCUGAGAGGGUGACCGGCCACACUGGGACUGAGACACGGCCCAGACUCCUACGGGAGGCAGCAGUGGGGAAUAUUGCACAAUGGGCGAAAGCCUGAUGCAGCGACGCCGCGUGAGGGAUGACGGCCUUCGGGUUGUAAACCUCUUUCGACAGGGACGAAGCGCGAGUGACGGUACCUGUAGAAGAAGCACCGGCCAACUACGUGCCAGCAGCCGCGGUAAUACGUAGGGUGCGAGCGUUGUCCGGAAUUACUGGGCGUAAAGAGCUUGUAGGCGGUUCGUCGCGUCGAUUGUGAAAACUUGCAGCUCAACUGCAAGCUUGCAGUCGAUACGGGCGGACUAGAGUACUUCAGGGGAGACUGGAAUUCCUGGUGUAGCGGUGAAAUGCGCAGAUAUCAGGAGGAACACCGGUGGCGAAGGCGGGUCUCUGGGAAGUAACUGACGCUGAGAAGCGAAAGCGUGGGUAGCGAACAGGAUUAGAUACCCUGGUAGUCCACGCCGUAAACGGUGGGUACUAGGUGUGGGUUUCCUUCCACGGGAUCCGUGCCGUAGCUAACGCAUUAAGUACCCCGCCUGGGGAGUACGGCCGCAAGGCUAAAACUCAAAGGAAUUGACGGGGGCCCGCACAAGCGGCGGAGCAUGUGGAUUAAUUCGAUGCAACGCGAAGAACCUUACCUGGGUUUGAC